rnacentral:lncRNA from 1 species
AACUUCCCUUGGCCUCUUCCAUGUCUGCUGCCGCCGCAGCUCCCGUGACCGCGAGGUAAAAUUCAGCUCAUUUCUGUAUGGUUUCUUGUCAAGCAGCUAGCUUUGGCCCCAAAGUGGUAGCUCAGCACGCCGGCUCUUGUUUAUGUUUCUUUUCGCCAGUUGUUGAGCAAGUAUAUAUUGUAAUGCUGUCGCAAAUCUUUCUGCAGCAGGCUUCUCUGCUAAUGCCGGGCGGGGUAGGGAUGCAUGGGAGGAAGCAGUAGUCUAGUCUAGCACCAGCAUCUUUGUGACUUGUGAGAGACUAAUUUGGACGCCAUUCUGCUUCUGCACAUUGUUGGUGUCCGGUCACCACUCACCAGCACCUGUCCCUCAGGCGGCUUUGCCGCUUUACAUCCAGCCCUCUGAAUUCCCCUGUACCCGAUCACCAAAGUUCCAUUCGCAGCUGCCGGUACGUACAGUCCCCGAUCACCAAAGCCGGAA